rnacentral:rRNA from 1 species
UACGUAGGGGGGCAAGCGUUGUCCGGAUUUAUUGGGCGUAAAGAGCGUGUAGGCGGCCAUACAGGUCAGCUGUGAAAACUCGAGGCUCAACCUCGAGACGUCGGUUGAAACCGUAUGGCUAGAGUCCGGAAGAGGAGAGUGGAAUUCCCGGUGUAGCGGUGAAAUGCGCAGAUAUCAGGAGGAACACCGGUGGCGAAGGCGGGUCUCUGGGCCGAUAUUGACGCUGAGGAGCGAAAGCGUGGGGAGCAAACAGG